AUGAGUCGAUAUUUUCUUGACUUCACUUAGUUUAUUGUGCUAGAAUUAAUCAGGGAAUUGUGCUUAAUUGUCCGGUAUUUUCCCGUUUUCGCUAAUAGUGCUUAAUUUGGCCAGAAAUUCUAAUUUUAAUUAAUUUGAAUAUUUUGAGCUAAUUAUUUGCAUUAUUAUUUUCAGGUAAAAAUUUGAAAAUUCAAUUUGGGAUAUUUGGAGUGCUAUCAAAUAAGUCAAGACUCUUCACAUGGACAUUUCAAAUUUAAUUACUUUGAAACUUAGUAGUCUAGAUAGUUUUAAUUAANUUUGUAAACAANGGGCCAAUUUUUGGUAAAAUAGUUUAGGCCCAAAAUGUUAGAAUAGAUGACACAUGGCACCCUAGGGUUGGGUGGACCCCACCCUAAUUUUUGGACACUUGGUCCUAGGGAAAGAAAGGGUGCAGCCGUCACUUGGUAAGGAGAGCAUUCUUGGCUGAAACAGGAUUUUUGAAGGACUCUCUCUCGGCAGAUUUUGGUUUUUGGAGAGCACCAGCGUCAAUUACUAUUAUUUCCUUUGGCACUUAGCUUUGGAACGUCUUUUCUUAGGAGCUCUUGAUUGAAAACAUGUUUACACUUUUUGAUUGUGGAUGAUUGAGAAAUCGGACAUGAUUCUUCCUUUUCUUUGGGAAUUAAACGGUGACAUUUGCUAAAAAAAACGCUGAUUUAUAUUUUCCAUUUCACUGUGCAUUUAUUUUGGCAGNAGCCGCAACCUCUAGGAGCUUUUCCUGCAGCGUUCUUUUCUUUUUUUUUUAACAUUGCUGUUACUUUUUUUUCUUUUCAUUUUUCCAGCCGCUGCCAUGUCUUGUUAGAGGAGAAAUCAUUUUGCUGUCUCACGGAGGAGAGGUGCACGCUGUUAUGGUCCUUGAGGAUUAAUUUUUAGAAGCAC
rnacentral:lncRNA from 1 species